GCCGGAAGUCCCGUUCUCUGGGGAGCGGGAACCCUGGCGACCCGUGUCAUGGGAGCGGGUUUCUGUUACGUGGGCUUUAGCGCGAGCUGGGCGGUCGGCCCGGUCCCACCGAACUGCAUAGGGCCGUGUAGCCGGGGGAAGUCAGCCCCCUGCUCUGAGAAGCAGACUCUGCAUCUGUAAAAGGCUAAGCGUGCCCACUGGGGCCUGUGGUCAGGAUUGGCUGCAGUGAGGUCCGCAAAGCCCCUACCGCAUCCUGCGCCUUCGUUAGGGUGAGCAGUCAUGGGGACUCGCAUUGUGCCACCACGUAGCGGGUCUCACUGGGUCCGCUUGUCUGCUCGAGGAGACAGCCGGUGAGGACGGGAGCUGGCCUGCUUUGCCCAGGCUGUAACCUCAGCCUCCGCCCAUACCCACAGUAAGCAUCCAUUCCAUUGAUAUUCGCUAAAUGAGUGAAUUAUUACUAAGACAGAGGGCCGAGUGGAAGCGCCAUAAAUCACGUGAGUGAAUGUAAUUGUUGUCGCUGACCCUAUGGAGCACUUCCCUUGCCAGGCACUCACCCAUCCUAGAUCAUCUUCAAUCCAGAGGGUUUUCCUUGUUCCAGGAAACGUCUCACCUCCAUGUGCAGAUUUAAUUUUUACAGAAACUGAAAUUUCCCUCAUUUAUUAUCUAGAUGAGCCCCUAAAAUCUAUUCAAUAAGGUUUGAUCUUUGAUGGAACAGACCAGAGUUGUAUAAUGUGACAGUGGCCCCAAGGAACAGUUUGUAGGAGGAGAUUGUUGUCUUCUCUGAAAAAAACUUCCCAGAAGACAUUGAUGGUUCCCUUAGGUGCCCUGCAGUGGGUCCACUUCCAACAGGCUGAAGCCUGGAUUUGGUGGGUGAGGGUCCUACCUUUUCCUAGAUACCAUUCAGCAUCACUGAAGCCAGUAAACUCACCUCCUGAGGAACCGUUACCAUCUGUACUAUUUACACCCAUGGCAUGAGUCUGCUGCUCAAGACCUUUGAUGAGAAUCUUGAAAAGGAAACCAUGAAUUGCUGGAGAAAAUAUCUUUACACUUAUAUGCAACAGAUGGUCCAUUCCCUCAGUAUUCAAGAAGAAACUCUGGGAUCAUGGAGACCUGGGUGACAAUCACCCUCUGCCCACCCUGCGGGUUUUGGGGGCUUGGAGCUGGUUUUCACCACAAUUCUGUACACCUAAGAGACUGGGCCGUAAGAUCGAGCCUGUAAUUAUCUCACAGGCAUCAGUGAUGAUGUUACGAAUGCAGAUUAUGCCUUCAUGUGGAGAAAGAAACAGUAGGGGCUGAUUAGCCACGAAGAAGUUAAGUACUGGUUUCCACCAUGUCUAUUAAUAAAGAAGGGAAGAAGAGCAAGUACGUGGCAGGGAUGCGUAGCGUGUCCACAUGGAAGCGGAGAGCCUCUCCCUCUCAGAAAUCUGCUUCCCUGACUGCUGUCCUUUUGGUAGUCUCAUAAAAUGGAGACAAGAUUCUCUUCAGCUGUCCUGAGGAGGAAAAAAAAAUAUGACAUAAAAAUAAAUGAGGUAUAAGUAGCUCUUUUGGAAAA